CAAAAGGAACCCUGAGCCCCGACUGUGGGCCACAGCUGGUGGCCACUCUGCCUCAGUUAUGAGGGGCAUGUGCUUAGUCCUGGCAGUGGGAGUGAAGGGGCCAUGUAUGCGGGCGCCAUCCUGUUAACAAUAAGCAUUUAUUGGGCAACUGGGGUGUGGACUGAGCACUGGGCCUAAGGCUGGCCGUGCACUCUCUCAUUUAAUCCUCAGGAUACCUUGUGAAGGAAGAGCUACCCCAACUCCACUCUCCAGGUCAGGGAAACCAAACACAGAGAGGGAAAGUUACAUCCCACAAAGGUCACCUGGGUAAACAGAGGCAGCAAAAAAAAACCGGUGCGCCUGCGUCAAGCGUCCCCAGGUCCUCAGCGCCACCUUAUCACUGAGCAGGGCCUGUGCACCGCUCAGGGCAGCUCCUGACCACAGAAAACGGCUUCGGAAACGGCGGGGGGCGCCGUGCGGACCCCAGGGUGUGUGACUGCUUCGCCCAGGUGGCCUGGACGGCCUUCCCGAGGGACAGGGCGCGUCCGCCGGUGCCAGGGGAUGCCCUGGGACGCUGACGAGUCCCCGCCCUGAAGGCCCUACCAGAUGUAGCCCCUCGACUUGGAGCUCCCAAGCCAUGAGCCGGAUGACCCUCUAUUCCUCGCAAUGACCCAGACGCUGGUAUUUCUGUUCUUACCGACACAACGGACUAAAACACAGGCCACCCGUGGGGGUGUUCCUGAGCUUACGGUGCCUGCUCUGGUCUCUGGAGGCUUCUCCUGUCAUACGUGUCAGGUUGAUUUUCAUCAACGUUUUAGAACCCAGAUGUGCGCGGAAGUGUUGCUUUUACAGUCGAUCGUUUAGAGAAGUGACUCCUCUUCCUUUCAAACGAGAGUCUAGCUGCAGGAGCCACGCUGUCCCCUUUGCGGAGCUCCGUUGGCCACAACACGGGUCCACCUUGAUGCGACAUGGGAGGGGCUUCAUGA